rnacentral:rRNA from 1 species
CCUACGGGCGGCUGCAGUGGGGAAUAUUGGACAAUGGGGGCAACCCUGAUCCAGCCAUGCCGCGUGUGUGAAGAAGGCCCUCGGGUUGUAAAGCACUUUCAGUGAGGAAGAACGCCUGGUGGUUAAUACCCAUCAGGAAAGACAUCACUCACAGAAGAAGCACCGGCUAACUCCGUGCCAGCAGCCGCGGUAAUACGGAGGGUGCGAGCGUUAAUCGGAAUUACUGGGGGUAAAGCGCGCGUAGGUGGCUUGAUAAGCCGGUUGUGAAAGCCCCGGGCUCAACCUGGGAACGGCAUCCGGAACUGUCAAGCUAGAGUGCAGGAGAGGAAGGUAGAAUUCCCGGUGUAGCGGUGAAAUGCGUAGAGAUCGGGAGGAAUACCAGUGGCGAAGGCGGCCUUCUGGACUGACACUGACACUGAGGUGCGAAAGCGUGGGUAGCAAACAGGAUUAGAUACCCUUGUAGUC